UUUCCGGUUGAUCCUGCCGCCGGCCACCGCUAUCAAGUUCCGACUAAGCCAUGCGAGUCAAGGUAUCGUAAGAUGCCGGCAAACUGCUCAGUAACACGUGGAUAAUCUAACCUUGAGUAAGGGAUAACCUCGGGAAACUGAGGAUAAUACCUUAUAAUUGCUUAAAACUGGAAUGUUUAAGCAAUAAAAGUUCCGACGCUCAAGGAUGAGUCUGCGACCUAUCAGGUAGUAGGUGGUGUAAUGGACCACCUAGCCUCAGACGGGUACGGGCCCUGGGAGGGGUAGCCCGGAGAUGGACUCUGAGACAUCAGUCCAGGCCCUACGGGGCGCAGCAGGCGCGAACACUGUGCAAUGCGCGAAAGCGCGACACGGGGAGCUUGAGUGUCUUGGCAUAGCCAAGACUUUUCUCAUUCCUAAAAAGCAUGAGGAAUAAGUGCUGGGUAAGACGGGUGCCGGCCGCCGCGGUAACACCCGCAGCACAAGUGGUGGUCACUUUUAUUGAGCCUAAAGCGUUCGUAGCCGGUUUUGUAAAUCUUUAGAUAAAGCCUGAAGCUUAACUCCAGAAAGUCUGAAGAGACUGCAAGACUUGAGAUCGGGUGAGGUUAAACGUACUUUCAGGGUAGGGGUAAAAUCCUGUAAUCCCGGAAGGACGACCAGUGGCGAAAGCGUUUAACUAGAACGAAUCUGACGGUAAGGAACGAAGGCUAGGGUAGCAAACCGGAUUAGAUACCCGGGUAGUCCUAGCUGUAAACACUGCCCAUUUGAUGUUGCUUUUCCGUUGAGGGAAGGCAGUGUCGGAGCGAAGGUGUUAAAUGGGCCGCUUGGGAAGUAUGGUCGCAAGACUGAAACUUAAAGGAAUUGGCGGGGGAGCACCGCAACGGGAGGAAUGUGCGGUUUAAUUGGAUUCAACGCCGGA
rnacentral:rRNA from 1 species